GACGAACGCUGGCGGCGUGCUUAACACAUGCAAGUCGAACGGAAAGGCCCUGCUUUUGUGGGGUGCUCGAGUGGCGAACGGGUGAGUAACACGUGAGUAACCUGCCCUUGACUUUGGGAUAACUUCAGGAAACUGGGGCUAAUACCGGAUAGGAGCUCCUGCUGCAUGGUGGGGGUUGGAAAGUUUCGGCGGUUGGGGAUGGACUGGCGGCUUAUCAGCUUGUUGGUGGGGUAGUGGCUUACCAAGGCUUUGACGGGUAGCCGGCCUGGGAGGGUGACCGGCCACAUUGGGACUGAGGUACGGCCCAGACUCCUACGGGGGGCAGCAGUGGGGAAUAUUGCACAAUGGGCGGAAGCCUGAGGCAGCAACGCCGCGUGCGGGAUGACGGCCUUCGGGUUGUAAACCGCUUUCGCCUGUGACGAAGCGUGUGUGACGGUAAUGGGUAAAGAAGCACCGGCUAACUACGUG
rnacentral:rRNA from 1 species